UUCCACAACUUUGACUGAAUGUUUAUUAUAAUUAUUAAAAGAAAUAAACAGCAAACAAGAAAACAAUUGAAAAACCUCCAUAAAGUUCCUAUUAGCUUCAUUUUUCUUUUCUUUGCUUCAUUCCUUUAGCCAAUCCAGAGGCCAUGGUAACGAUGUCAAUUGCACUACUAGCUUUACCUAUAUUUCUAUAUAAACAAUAUCAUUUAAAAUAUACUUAGGAAAGUAUAUUGGAAUGUAAGUUGUUUUCAGGUACAUUGAUAGGAAAUUCAAUAUGUAUGGAAAUAACUUAGACGCAGUCUGAUCAAAUCAUUCCAUUCUAGCUUUAUUUAGAUCCGCUACAAGCUUUAGAUAAAAUACCAAAAGAUUUAUUUUAAAAGCACGUCUAUUUCAUAUCUUCGUUUAAUUAAUUCAACUUCAAUUCCCGAAUAAGUGAAAAUAAGUAAGUCGUCGAUCAUUCAUACACAAGUGAAAGAACUUAAUCUAAAAAUUAUUUUAUAAUAUAUUUAUUGGUUUGGUUUCUUGUUCUUUACUUUGAUUGGUUUUUGUUUGUUUAUAUGUCUUGUUGUAGAUAUUUAUUUCAGGAAAACUUACAGCUAAUUACAAAAAUAAUAGGAAUGAUAAUUGUGUUUACUAGCAAAAGGAAAAAAAAAUUAAAAGUACUUGUCAGAAAUCGGUCAAAUCUAAGCGGACCCACACGACAAGCAUCAGCAUAACCAAGUAAAUA